AGGUUUGGAUCUAGUAUCAAGUUGGUUAGGAAGUUAAUAACGCGAGUAGUGAGUGUUGAAAUUUGAUGUUAGAGGUGAUAAAUGAGUCGUCAAACUUUAUAACUGUUUGGGGGUUUAAGUAGUUAUAAACUUAUUUGGUGAUGAGAUCAAAUAGGUAAAUAUAUCUGUCUUGUUUGCUGUGUUAGGUUAGGGUUAAAGUUACCUCGUUUUAUAGAGUAUGUUAUAAUCGCGGUGCGAGGUUGUGAAGAUAGAUUGUUUUUGGUGACCUCCUUUAUUGAAUUAGACUUGAUAAAGUAUCAUUUAAUAAGUAAUUAUAUUAGUUUUUAUGUGUCUCAGUUUCAUCCCGUCUGUUUAUUAAAAACAUUUCCAUAGGUUAUUUUAUAUGGUAGUGCCUGCUCUAUGUGUUAUAAAUGGCCGCAGUAUCUUGACUGUGCGAAGGUAGCAUAAUUAAUUGCCCUUUAAAUGGGGGCUUGUCUGAAUGGUUUGACGUGGUUGUGAGUAACAUGAGAAUUUUAAGUGAAUUUAAUGGCGCGAAUUCAGAAUUUGCGUAGUUUAACUAGACGGAAAGACCCUAGGAUCUUUAAAAUUUUGCUUGGGGCAAGUGAUAAUAUUUUAUUUGCUUUUUGACCCCCCUGAAGUGGGGUUACAGGUUUAAGUUACCCUAGGGAUAACAGAGUGAUAGUUUAUUAGAGGUCUUAUCGAUUAAACUGUUUGCUACCUCGAUGUUGACUUGGGUUAAA
rnacentral:rRNA from 1 species